UUAACUGUAACUCAUUGGUGGAGUGCUUGCCUAGCAUGUAUGAGGCCCUGGGUUCAAUCCCCAAUACUGAAA
rnacentral:tRNA from 1 species